UCCAGUGUGCUAAUCAGCUUUCUAUUACUAUAACUGUAAGUGUUACAGCUCUGAAGAGAAAGGUAUACUGGAAGUCAGAAGCCAAGGAUUACCUCCAGCUCUGAAGGAAAAGGUUCUUCUGAAGUAAGUGAAAGCUGAAAUGGUUGGAGAGAAAUUUCUAGAAGGGGAUGAGGUUUGAUAUGGAUCCUGAAGGUGGAGAUUUGAGAGAAUAAAGCAUUGAAGAUAAAACCUGA